UACGUAGGGUGCGAGCGUUAUUCGGAAUUACUGGGCGUAAAGCGUGCGCAGGCGGUUUUGUAAGUCGGAUGUGAAAUCCCCGGGCUUAACCUGGGAAUGGCAUUCGGGACUGCAAGGCUGGAGUGCGGCAGAGGAGACUGGAAUUCCUGGUGUAGCAGUGAAAUGCGUAGAUAUCAGGAGGAACACCGAUGGCGAAGGCAGCUCGCUGGGACGGUACUGACGCUGAGGCGCGAAAGCGUGGGGAGCAAACAGG
rnacentral:rRNA from 1 species